GACGAACGCUGGCGGCGUGCCUAAUACAUGCAAGUAGAACGCUGAAGAGAGGAGCUUGCUCUUCUUGGAUGAGUUGCGAACGGGUGAGUAACGCGUAGGUAACCUGCCUUGUAGCGGGGGAUAACUAUUGGAAACGAUAGCUAAUACCGCAUAACAAUGGAUGACACAUGUCAUUUAUUUGAAAGGGGCAAUUGCUCCACUACAAGAUGGACCUGCGUUGUAUUAGCUAGUAGGUGAGGUAAUGGCUCACCUAGGCGACGAUACGUAGCCGACCUGAGAGGGUGAUCGGCCACACUGGGACUGAGACACGGCCCAGACUCCUACGGGAGGCAGCAGUAGGGAUUCGUCGGCAAUGAGGGCAAACCUGACCGAGCAACGCCGCGUGAGUGAGGAAGGUUUUCGGAUCGUAAAGCUCUGUUGUAAGUCAAGAACGGGUGUGAGAGUGGAAAGUUCACACAGUGACGGUAGCUUGCCAGAAAGGGACGGCUAACUACGUG
rnacentral:rRNA from 1 species